UGUUUAAAUUUUUGAUCCAUUUUUACUAUUAAAAACUAGAGUGGCUGACAGAAUAACCAGACAAUUACACAUGGUGUGUCACAUGUACCUCAUUUCGAUGUACAAGGAUCAAUUUUUAAUAGUGGAAAUCGAUGAAAUUUUUAACA
rfam:Gossypium hirsutum cultivar TM-1 chromosome 10, whole genome shotgun sequence